UACGAAGGGGGCUAGCGUUGCUCGGAAUCACUGGGCGUAAAGCGCACGUAGGCGGAUCUUUAAGUCAGGGGUGAAAUCCCAAGGCUCAACCUUGGAACUGCCUUUGAUACUGGGGAUCUCGAGUCCGGAAGAGGAUGGUGGAACUCAGAGUGUAGAGGUGAAAUUCGUAGAUAUUAGGAAGAACACCAGUGGCGAAGGCGGCCAACUGGUCCGGUACUGACGCUGAGGUGCGAAAGCGUGGGGAGCAAACAGG
rnacentral:rRNA from 1 species